GAGUCACUGGCCCCGUCCGCAUCCUUCUCCAGCGGCCCCGGGGGCCGCCGCGCCUUAACUCGAUCAGGGCUGCAGCGGCUCGCUGGCUUGACCAGUGCAGAAGGGGCGUGGGUACUAACAGUCUAAGCAGAAAAAGAAGAACAGAUGGUGGUAAGACCUAGAAUGUUUACCCCAUUAAGAUCUAUAUCUGAAUCCAGAAGGAACACCUCAUUGCCGAGAAGAGCCCUGCAGACAGUUCACACCUCUGUUUCUUUUGCAAGAUAUAGCUACCUCAAAAAAUCCUUUCUUGAUCAAACUCUUAUGGCCUGGAAUCCUUGCGUUUCUGCUGAUGACUGUCAUUUUAGAGUACUUACUAAAGACAAUGGUUGGGGAAAUAGAUAUUUUAAAAAUAAGGGAAAAAGUGGGUAGGGUAAACCCAGGCUUACUUAUGUAAACUCUGAGUGCUGAAGUUAGAAGACAACUUUUAAGAUUAAAAAAAAAAAAAAAAAAAAAGAUUUCUGGUAGCCGCCAGAAGCUAAGAACAGAUUCUCCCUCUGAGCCUCCAGAACCCAGAUGACACCUUGAUUUCAGACUUCUGGCCUCCAAAACUGUGAGAGAAGAAAUGUGUUGUUUUAAGGCACCCAGCUGGUGACAGUUCAUCACAGUAGCCACAGGAAACUAAUACCCAGCCCCAUGGCAGGCAUAGGUCAAGCCUGGCACAGUCUGGAUCUCAGUCCCUGACUCAGACCCUGGAUGCUCGCUGCCUUGUACAGAAACAACCUGCUCAACCAAACAGGGUGACCCUGCUGAAGCCGCAAAUGUCCAACAGUCCUGCCAACCGUGGAUGCUUCUGUAGCUUCCCUUUAGCUCUCCCUCCUGGCAUGAAACCAGACACAGACUACCCAGAAGAUGAACUGAGCACUCUGCAAUGGGCCCAGCACGCUGCUGCAUCUGAGACCAUCUUCUCGGCCCUAACAACCCUGGCAGGCUCUUCUCUCUGGUGGGGAAAUUGGGCUUAGGGAAAGGACAUCUUUAGGACAGUCAUCCCACCAAGUAGAAUGACUCUAUGCAGCCUGAAUACUGUUUCCCUGGGAGGAAAAAAAUCCAAAGCAUAAACUUUUAUAAGCUGUUUUAAUUAAAACACUCUUUGUAAAGUGAUGUAUUUGAAGCAAGGGAGGAGAAAGGUUUUCUGGCAAAAGUGUCUUUUGUGGUGUUUCUUUGGUGAGCAAAAGGAACUCAACUGAUGAAAACACCAAAGCACAAACAUUCUGUGGCCAGUAAAGUGGGUGGAGGGGGCAAUGGAGACAACCUCAGGUGGGGCCCAGCUUGUAACGCUGGCAGGGCUCUGUUAAUGUGCUCCAUAAAGGGCUUUGGAGGGCAGGAGGAGCACCACCAACAUUUUAAAUGUGAGGCCAACCAUAAAACGAUUCAUGAUUAGUCCACUAAAAUGUGUUUAUUGGCAAAUAGGAAAGAGAUCCCUGAAAAUAAGCAGGAACAGGUGAUUUUCAAGGCUGACUUAGGUCUCCUAUUCAGCUACUCAACAAUUAUAUCCGAGCUACGUGCAGUGGCUCACCCUGUAAUCCCAGCACUUUGGAGGCUGAGACAAGAGGCGAAAAGUUCGAGACCAGCCUGGGCAACCUAGCGAGACACCAUCUCUAUGAAAAAUUUAAAAAUUAGCCUAGCAUGUGUCUUGUGCCUGUGGUCCCAGCUACUCAGGAGGCUGAGGUGAGAGGAUCACUUGAGCCCCAGAGGUUGAGGUUACAGUGAGCUGUGAUCACACCACUGCACUCCAGUCUGGGUGACAGAGUGAGACACUGUCUCAAGAAAAAACAAAAAUUAAAACAAACAAUAACAACAACAACAACAACAAAAAAAAACGGCAAAGUUAGAACACACAAAAGAUAGUAUAGUUCCUUACCCAUCCACCACUUGGUUUUGAGGAGAAAAGGGAAGUAAGAAGAGUUGAAGAGAAGAAAAACAGAACAGAAGAGUGGGAAAGGAAGAUGAAAGGGUGCUAUGGAGUACUAUGCACCUGUUUAGAAGUGGGGAAGUAGCACAAACACUAGCAAAAGAAGAACCACCAUGGAGUUCCUCCUUGCACAUCUCUCUCCCCUCCUGAAGGCCUAGGGUGAGCCCACAGCAUUGUUCCAGCAGUGAGGGAGUCUUCACUGCCUCCUGAGACUCUCUCACGGCUCUUAAGAUACCUCCCUGAAGUCCCUCCAAAGAAUUCAAUGUGCCCCUAGUCUAAAUCAGUUUCCUCCAUCAUAAAUACUCAUAGAUGACGCAACAAUAAAGCGUUAAUAACGAUAAUGGCAAUUUUGUGUGUCAAACAUUGUAUUAAGCAUUUUACCUGCUUUAUUGUUUGUAAUGCUUCAACAGCUUAUGAGAAGGUAUUAUUAUUUCUACUUCACAGUGCAGAAAAUGAAACCUGAGUAAGUUGUCUUAGAUCACACAGCUGCUAAGCAGUGGCACAGGGAUUUAAGCCCAGGUCCAUCUGAUCAACUCCGAUGGCACAUAAUUGACCUCUGCAUUGUCCCGCCUGCCCACAGGUCACUGCCUCAGUGAUCCAGUCCCAUCCGUUGUUUAGAUAACUGAAUAAGUUAUCCUCGAAUCAUUUAUUGUAAGCCUAGUCUCUCAAGUUUACUGUGAGUCAAGGGCUAGGUCAUAUACCUCUUUUGUGCUCUUCUAUAUCGUGGCAUCCAACCUCUUGCUUGUCAGCUUCCAACUCUGGCUCAACUUAAGGACUUCUUUUCCUGGCAUCUGUCCCUUAUAUGGGAGGUGUUCAUACAAUUCUACUGAUUGUUUUCACCUUACAACUUUUUAUUUUGAAAUACUCUCUUCUAAGUGUUCCUAGUAAAUUUUUUAAAGCCAGCAAGGAAAAAAAAUUCUAUUUAUUGCCAACUAAUUAUAAACAUUAAAACAUCAAUUUAAAAUUUAAAGGAAAAAUGACCUAUAAUACCACCACUAAUAGCAUUUUCAUGUGUUUUAUUCAUUUGUUCUUCAUAUGUAUGUUCUUACAGAGUUGUAAUCAAGACAUACAUAUAGUUUUGUUUUGUUUUGUUUUUUUUA
rnacentral:lncRNA from 1 species